rnacentral:rRNA from 1 species
CAUUACCGAGUGAGGGCCCUUUGGGUCCAACCUCCCACCCGUGUUUAUUUACCUCGUUGCUUCGGCGGGCCCGCCUUAACUGGCCGCCGGGGGGCUCACGCCCCCGGGCCCGCGCCCGCCGAAGACACCCCCGAACUCUGCCUGAAGAUUGUCGUCUGAGUGAAAAUAUAAAUUAUUUAAAACUUUCAACAACGGAUCUCUUGGUUCCGGCAUCGAUGAAGAACGCAGCGAAAUGCGAUACGUAAUGUGAAUUGCAAAUUCAGUGAAUCAUCGAGUCUUUGAACGCACAUUGCGCCCCCUGGUAUUCCGGGGGGCAUGCCUGUCCGAGCGUCAUUGCUGCCCUCAAGCCCGGCUUGUGUGUUGGGCCCCGUCCUCCGAUUCCGGGGGACGGGCCCGAAAGGCAGCGGCGGCACCGCGUCCGGUCCUCGAGCGUAUGGGGCUUUGUCACCCGCUCUGUAGGCCCGGCCGGCGCUUGCCGAUCAACCCAAAUUUUUAUCCAGGUUGACCUCGGAUCAGGUAGGGAUACCCGCUGAACUUAAGCAUAUCAAUAAGCGGAGGAAA